ACUACAACGCAUGACCUCAUUGGGGUAGGACAACCCGCUAGACUUAAGCAUAUCAAUAAGCGGAG
rnacentral:rRNA from 1 species